GAAGCGCCCCGUUAAAAAAACAAAAACAAAAAAACACAAACAAAAAAAUAGAAGCGCCCCGUCAAGUUUUACAUCAUAACCUUUUGUUUUGGCUCUAGGUCCAGGUCCGUAUUGGACAGCUUCUGGGUCCGGACCCGGACCUCAGUCCGCCUGUUAGUGACCUAUGGUUUACAAGGUGGUUCAGCCUGGGUUCAAAAUGGGUCACUGAGGUGCUGGUUCUGACCCCUGUGAUUUCGAGACUGGACCACUGACACCAUUCCACCUCUACUGUAUAUCUGAUCCACAAUACAGAUGUGCGACUAACUUUCAACCUUACUAAAUCCUGCCAAUGGAUACACUCGUUUGAGCUUCCUGUAUCUGUCUGCGUCAGCAUUAAAAACACUGAUGCUUGACUACAAAGCCAAAAACAGAGCAACACCCACUUACCUCAAAGCACCUCCCACACCCUGCACUGUACUACACCCCUUCAAUUCUCCAGCACUGCUGGACUGAUCCCACCGUCAGGGAAUGAGGAAGGCAUGAAUCAAGACUAUUUUCUGGUUUGGUGCCCUUGUGGUAGACUGAACUCGUCCUAGAUGUCUUAACAGCUGAGUUACUGGCUAUCUUCAAACAAACUGUACAAAGCAUUAAAACAAACAAACAAAAAUCUAGCUUGUUUUGUGUGUGAUUUUGUUCCUAUAUUUCCUCCCCAACAGGCUUUUUAGAAUGACAGUAUUCUUAGUCUGUGACCCAGUGAACCAGUAUCAGGAUAUAUUCAUGGAUAGAGACCUUCAACGACUGUGUCCCAAUAACGUUGGAGAAAAACUAAUGGAAACCCAUGUGAACCUGAGCACAUUUGAGAUCCUUCAUUUAUUCCAUUUAUUCAGAGAAAUGUCAGAUAAGCAGGGCUUGGGGUUAGGACAGCAGUGAAAUAAUAAAGCUCAUCAGGAGUAAACAAUAUCAAACCAGAUGCAGGAGGCGGGGUUUGGAAACGUGGCACAGAAACACAUGUCUAAUGUGCCUUUCCUAGUCGUACCUAUUGGAACAAAUUUGACCUGAACAAUUUAAA